AGAUGAAGGAAGCAUGGUUAUGUGCACGGAGAUUGAAUCAUAGAGUCGACUUGUCUGCUCUCUCUGAUACUCUUUUUAAGGGUUAAUGAUUUGAGGGCCUGGUUUUAUACUCACAUUU